rnacentral:rRNA from 1 species
GAUGAACGCUGGCGGCGUGCCUAAUACAUGCAAGUCGAGCGAACAGACGAGGAGCUUGCUCCUCUGACGUUAGCGGCGGACGGGUGAGUAACACGUGGAUAACCUACCUAUAAGACUGGGAUAACUUCGGGAAAUCGGAGCUAAUACCGGAUAAUAUAUUGAACCGCAUGGUUCAAUAGUGAAAGACGGUUUUGCUGUCACUUCUAGAUGGAUCCGCGCCGCAUUAGCUAGUUGGUAAGGUAACGGCUUACCAAGGCAACGAUGCGUAGCCGACCUGAGAGGGUGAUCGGCCACACUGGAACUGAGACACGGUCCAGACUCCUGCGGGAGGCAGCAGUAGGGAAUCUUCCGCAGUGGGCGAAAGCAUGACGGAGCAACGCCGCGUGAGUGAUGAAGGUCUUCGGAUCGUAAAACUCUGUUAUUAGGGAAGAACAAAUGUGUAAGUAACUAUGCACGUCUUGACGGUACCUAAUCAGAAAGCCACGGCUAACUACGUG